UGAAACUUGCAGGAACGGGCCUUG
rnacentral:miRNA from 10 species